CCCCAACACACCUACACAAACACUUCAUGACACCAGCCCAAACCCUAGGCUCCCUGCACCAAAGCAGAAGCCUCUAGGAAAAAACAGCAACCACAGGAUCCUGCUAACACAGAUGCCGGGCUGGUCUUCAACAUGCAAUCCUCGACACCCACCCGAACCCCCACCCCGCCUCCAACGGGUCCCAGCCACCUGCAUUCCUCCGUGGACCCACACAAGGACUCUGCUUUUUUGCACGUGCGGGGCCAGCUCUUCAACCUGGAAUGCCCUGCCUCCUCUCAUUCUCCAACUGGCAAAGUCAAUCAUUUCUUAGGACUCUGUGAAGCCUUGCCUGCCUCCCUCCCUUCCCGCAGGACAGAUGUCGUUUCCUUCCCUGGGGAUUCCACUUUGUGCACAGUAAUUCAUAUUCUCCAGGAGUUUGAAAAGGAGGGAUCUCAGAUUUCAUCCUCCUUGCCCCAGAAGAUCUGUUCUAGAACAGCUUCAAACUUCAUUUUAGAUUCUGGAGGCCACAGCUGAGAGUCAUGGCCAGUUAGCCUGUCCCACACUUACACGAUCCAAACUAGGCUGGAGCAUCCAGCGGAAGCUUAACGAAGUCUGAAGGCUUUGUGAAAAGCUCUUAGAGCUGCUCUGAGGACACGGAUGAACCCACUCAUUGGAGGGGUCUUGGCGUGGGGAUAGUACAAUGUCACCAUGGCAAAAGCAGAAAGUAAAGGUGGCCUACAGCUCAGUGAUUUGUUUCCCCUAUGUGUGGAUGUCACCUUGCACCACCUGCCCAUGUCCCUCCACCCUGCUUUCAAGAGCUUGAAAAACAGGAAAUAAAGUCACAAUCCAGAGAAGUCGCUUGGGCUGGACUAGCCCUCUGCUGCAGC